GGGUCUACCCUCCGGCCCUUCUUGUAGAUGGGCGUCAUGUUUGCUAGCCGCCAUACAUAAUGCAUACAUAAUGAAAUAUACUCCAUAAUUUGUGUUUAUUAAAAUUUUCUUUUCACAUUUCUUUUACACUUUUGUUAUUAGAUCUUUUAUUGAAUGCUAAUGGAGGUUAUUCAGCUUGCAAGGGAUCCUUGACAUUUUUUCAAGUAACUUAUUUAAAUCUGAAUUCUACCAUCCCCGUUUUGUUCUCAUGAUGCUCACUUUCUACUGUUCUUUUCCACUUUUUAUCAUGUAGCAUUGUAACUACAUUAAAUUAGUAAUGAAAAAUGAAACCACAGGAGUCCACUGUAUUCUAGGUAAUGACUGAUACGUCUUUUCACUUGUCUGCAUUACAUUAUAGUGUCAUAACUUUCCUUUAGACCCAAUAAUAUUUUUCAUUAUUGCACUAUCCACAGCACAGAACUGUAGGGGCUUGUUCAGAUUCUAACAAUAUUUUCCUUAAGUAAAUCCAUAUCUAAUAACAGCAUUUAUUUUCUCUUUCUUUUUCUUGUUCUGUAGUGGAAGGCAGAGCACUGAUUUCUCUUAGACCUCAUAUUGGUUUUACAGGUGCUCAAAAAUGUCAUCAAUGGAUAUUAAAAGAGAUACAUCAGGAAAUAGAAGAGGCCAAGGUACAGUACUGCUCAGGGGCUACAAAAUCUUUAGCUUUGUGCCUUGGUGUCAAGGGCAUUAAAUGGGAAUUUGCCAUUAAAGAAUGUAUGGAGUAUGGGGCAGUCAGUGGCUUUUGAACUGAAAUCCUCCCUGGGUGAGUGUGUGGAGUCUGCCCAGGUGACAAUGAUUCUCCUGCUUACUCUGUACAGAUGCAUCCCAUCUCACUGCAUCAGCUGCUGUAUUUAAGUAUUUAAGGCAGGUGUGGUUUUUUUUUUUUCAUUUGUUUGCUCUUUCCAUUUCUUUGGGUCUGUAUGUUGGGUGGUUUGCACACUGGUACAGGACUGUUAUUUCUAGUGUUGCCUUCCUUGGGCUACUUUUCCUUUGUUGGCUUGCAGCAGAGCCAAGCUUGGAGAGUGUGCGAUGUCGCUGAGAGACCUGACUCCGUGGUGGCUUUAUGGGUAUGUGCUCAUCCUGAAUAUCAGAUUUAUGGAAAUAAAUGUGGUCCAUGUUAUCAUCAGUGUGCAGGAAGCCUAGCAAAUAUUGGAGCGGGCAUAAGCCCACAAACUGCUCAGAGUCUCUAA
rnacentral:lncRNA from 1 species